CCCCCAGGGCCCCCGGGUGCCCCCCGGGCUGUCCCCUGUGCCAGGGUACCGGCUGAACAAGAGGCUGCACGAGCUGCUCAUCACCCGCUACGCCGAGCCCGACCUGGCGCUGGACUUCGACAGCUUCGUCUGCUGCCUCGUGCGCCUGGAGACCAUGUUCCGGUUUUUCCAAGCCAUGGAUGUGGACCAGGACGGCGUCGUCACCUUCGACCUGCUGCAGUGGCUCCAGCUCACCAUGUUCGCCUGACCGGACCCUCCAAGUGCCUUCCACGACCCCGCGCCGGUUUUUCCCUUUUUUUGGCUUUUUUCGGCAGAAAAGGCUGGAUGGGGGGGUGGGGUGGGGGUCACACAGGACCCCCCCCGAGCUUUGCCAAAGCCCCCUGUCCCUCCCUCACCUCACGCUCGGCCCUUUUGGGGCAAAUCCUCCGGAUUUUUGUGCCUCCUGUGCUGACGGAGCCCCGGGUCCGUCAUCCUUCGCUUCAGGGAUCUGCUGCCCCCGGGUGCCAUCAAGUGAUUUUUUUAUUGUAUAAAUUAAAAAUGACAUAAAAACCAAAGAAAUAUUAUUUAAGUCAAAACUCCUUUUUCUGGCAGUUCUUUCUGUCCCUCGAGGUGAGGGGGUGAGGGGAUCUCAAGGCACUGCAACGUAUCAGGUUUAGGGGUUGUUUUGGGGUUAUAGAUCCCAGAUUUGGGGUUAUAUUCACGUAUUUUUGGGAUAUUUUGGUGGUUGUGACUUAAAACCUGAGGAUGUCUUCUGGGCGGGGGGUGCAGGACGAG
rnacentral:lncRNA from 1 species